CCAGACUCCUACGGGAGGCAGCAGUGAGGAAUAUUGGUCAAUGGGCUUACGCCUGAACCAGCCAAGUCGCGUGAGGGAAGACUGCCCUAUGGGUUGUAAACCUCUUUUGUCAGGGAGCAAUUGGCACUACGUGUAGCGUUAUCGAGAGUACCUGAAGAAAAAGCAUCGGCUAACUACGUGCCAGCAGCCGCGGUAAUGCGUAGGGAGCGAGCGUUAUCCGGAUUUACUGGGUGUAAAGGGCGUGUAGGCGGGAUGGCAAGUCAGGCGUGAAAACUAUGGGCUCAACCCAUAGCCUGCGUUUGAAACUGUCGUUCUUGAGUGAUGGAGAGGCAAGCGGAAUUCCGUGUGUAGCGGUGAAAUGCGUAGAUAUACGGAGGAACACCAGUGGCGAAGGCGGCUUGCUGGACAUUAACUGACGCUGAGGCGCGAAAGCGUGGGGAGCAAACAGGAUUAGAUACCCGAGUA
rnacentral:rRNA from 1 species